ACGAACGCUGGCGGCGUGCUUAACACAUGCAAGUCGAACGGAGAGGCCCCUUUGGGGGUACUCGAGUGGCGAACGGGUGAGUAACACGUGAGUAACCUGCCCUUGACUUCGGGAUAACUUCAGGAAACUGGGGCUAAUACCGGAUAGGAAUCCUUGCUGCAUGGUGGGGGUUGGAAAGCUUCGGCGGUUUUGGAUGGACUCGCGGCUUAUCAGCUUGUUGGUGGGGUAGUGGCUUACCAAGGCUUUGACGGGUAGCCGGCCUGAGAGGGCGACCGGCCACAUUGGGACUGAGAUACGGCCCAGACUCCUACGGGAGGCAGCAGUGGGGAAUAUUGCACAAUGGGCGGAAGCCUGAUGCAGCAACGCCGCGUGCGGGAUGACGGCCUUCGGGUUGUAAACCGCUUUCAGCAGGGGCGAAGCUUGUGGUGACGGUACCUGCAGAAGAAGCACCGGCUAACUACGUG
rnacentral:rRNA from 1 species